GACGAACGCUGGCGGCGUGCUUAACACAUGCAAGUCGAACGGAAAGGCCCUGCUUUUGUGGGGUGCUCGAGUGGCGAACGGGUGAGUAACACGUGAGUAACCUGCCCUUGACUUUGGGAUAACUUCAGGAAACUGGGGCUAAUACCGGAUAGGAGCUCCUGCUGCAUGGUGGGGGUUGGAAAGUUUCGGCGGUUGGGGAUGGACUCGCGGCUUAUCAGCUUGUUGGUGGGGUAGUGGCUUACCAAGGCUUUGACGGGUAGCCGGCCUGAGAGGGUGACCGGCCACAUUGGGACUGAGAUACGGCCCAGACUCCUACGGGAGGCAGCAGUGGGGAAUAUUGCACAAUGGGCGGAAGCCCGAUGCAGCAACGCCGCGUGCGGGAUGACGGCCUUCGGGUUGUAAACCGCUUUCGCCUGUGACGAAGCGUGAGUGACGGUAAUGGGUAAAGAAGCACCGGCUAACUACGUGCCAGCAGCCGCGGUGAUACGUAGGGUGCGAGCGUUGUCCGGAUUUAUUGGGCGUAAAGGGCUCGUAGGUGGUUGAUCGCGUCGGAAGUGUAAUCUUGGGGCUUAACCCUGAGCGUGCUUUCGAUACGGGUUGACUUGAGGAAGGUAGGGGAGAAUGGAAUUCCUGGUGGAGCGGUGGAAUGCGCAGAUAUCAGGAGGAACACCAGUGGCGAAGGCGGUUCUCUGGGCCUUUCCUGACGCUGAGGAGCGAAAGCGUGGGGAGCGAACAGGCUUAGAUACCCUGGUAGUCCACGCUGUAAACGGUGGGUACUAGGUGUGGGGUCCAUUCCACGGGUUCCGUGCCGUAGCUAACGCUUUAAGUACCCCGCCUGGGGAGUACGGCCGCAAGGCUAAAACUCAAAGGAAUUGACGGGGCCCCGCACAAGCGGCGGAGCAUGCGGAUUAAUUCGAUGCAACGCGUAGAACCUUACCUGGGUUUGACAUGGAUCGGGAGUGCUCAGAGAUGGGUGUGCCUCUUUUGGGGUCGGUUCACAGGUGGUGCAUGCCUGUCGUCAGCUCGUGUCGUGAGAUGUUGGGUUAAGUCCCGCAACGAGCGCAACCCUUGUUCACUGUUGCCAGCACGUUAUGGUGGGGACUCAGUGGAGACCGCCGGGGUCAACUCGGAGGAAGGUGGGGAUGACGUCAAGUCAUCAUGCCCCUUAUGUCCAGGGCUUCACGCAUGCUACAAUGGCUGGUACAGAGAGUGGCGAGCCUGUGAGGGUGAGCGAAUCUCGGAAAGCCGGUCUCAGUUCGGAUUGGGGUCUGCAACUCGACCUCAUGAAGUCGGAGUCGCUAGUAAUCGCAGAUCAGCAACGCUGCGGUGAAUACGUUCCCGGG
rnacentral:rRNA from 1 species